GUGGUUAUAGCUUAGUGGUAGAGCACAUGCUUAGCAUGCACUAGGUCCUAGGUUCAAUCCCAGGUACCUCUA
rnacentral:tRNA from 1 species